CCGAUCCUCAUGGCCGACUGCAAGCGCCGCUGCGUGGACGUCGCUGACCGGCUUGGUGACCUGCCGGACAGCCUCCUGCAAGUCAUAAUCUCCUUGCUCGGCUUCCGGCAGGCCGUGCAGACCGGCGUGCUGUCGCGGCGGUGGAGGAACCUGUGGCGCGGCGUGCCCGUCGUCGACAUCGACGAGCGAGAGUUCGCCGGCGACGGCCAGACCUGGGACCGUUUCGAGGACUUCGUCGACCACGCGUUGACGUCGAUCCCGCCAGGGACGCGGCUCGACGCCUUUCGCCUGCACGUGGUUAGCUGCGACACCGCCACGUCUAGCAGGUGGAUCCGACGUGGCCUCCGCCACCUCCCGGUCGCCGUCAGCAUCCACGGUACCAACGCCGGCCACAGCCUGGUCUCCUGGAAGCCACACGUAUCAUCCCCGCCCCCAAACCCCUUCAGCUACGCCGCCGCCGACGGACUCUGGCAGCAGCGGGGCAUGUCGGCGUGCGCCGCUGGUUUCACCAGCCGCUUGACGACCCUGCGGCUGGUCGGCGCCAGUAUCAGUUUCGGCUUCUUCCAGCACCUCGGCCGGUACUGCCCGACCCUCCAGGAGCUCCACGCCGAGAGGUGCAUGAUGCACCUUCUCUCCCUCGCCUCGCCCGUGCUCAGGCGCCUCACUGUCAUCGCCCCACUUUCAGCCCUCACUGCCGCCGUCGUUCCUGGGCUGGAGGCCCCCCGGCUCGCCUCCCUCCGCCUCGACAUCAUGUAUGGCGGGGAGAGCAGCUUCGAAUUCAUAGCCGGACUCGGGCUGGCCCCACGGUAUCACUUGCCGGCACUUACUGAGGCGUCACUCCGGCUCACGGACAUGGCCGCCGACGUCCACCUGCCCGCUCACCAAGCUUGGGAGAACCAGAAGCUCAAGUUUUUGGAAUCCAUGAGUGGCUUCCUAGCCCUCCUUAACAAUGUUGUAAGCCUACAUCUACACGGGUUCAUCACCAUG
rnacentral:rRNA from 1 species